UUUCCGUAGGUGAACCUGCGGAAGGAUCAUUAUUGAAUACUCGAUGGGUUGUAGCUGGCUCCUCGGAGCAUGUGCACGCCUGUCUUGACUCUAUUCAUCCACCUGUGCACCUAUUGUAGUCUCAUUUGCUAUGUCUUUAUUCACAAACCAUGUAGUAUGUUGCAGAAUGUAUUCAAUGGGCCAUCGUGCCUAUAAAACCUUAUACAACUUUCAGCAACGGAUCUCUUGGCUCUCGCAUCGAUGAAGAACGCAGCGAAAUGCGAUAAGUAAUGUGAAUUGCAGAAUUCAGUGAAUCAUCGAAUCUUUGAACGCACCUUGCGCUCCUUGGUAUUCCGAGGAGCAUGCCUGUUUGAGAGUCAGUAAAUUCUCAACCCCACCAGCUUUUGUGAGUUGGCACUUGGGGAUUGGAUGUGGAGGUUCUGCCGGCCGGUCGGCUCCUCUGAAAUGUAUUAGCGGAACCGUUUGCGAUCCGUCACAGGUGUGAUAAUUAUCUACGCCAGUGGGUUGCUCUCUGUCUGUUCAGCUUCCAACCGUCCUCCGGGACAAACAUAACUGAACCUUUGACCUCAAAUCAGGUAGGACUACCCGCUGAACUUAA
rnacentral:rRNA from 2 species